CCGUUUGAUCGACAAAGAGGGGGGGUGUGAAUGUUGCAGGGCAUCUGAGAGAGAAGGGUGUUUAUCGAGAACUGAACCGUCGGGCGGUUCGUACUCCGGUCACCGGAGUUCAGUCGGAGAGGGAACCAGAAUACUUCAAUCGGUUUGUACUCCGACAAAGGGGUUGCAUACAUACUUGUAUGUGAAGAUUUUAGUGAUUUGUUGAUAGCUCAAGGGUGUGGGUGUGCUUGUUCGAUUCUGUGUUUCGAGAGAGGAGAGCCAGAGUGUUGUUUCUAUAUGUAUGUGUUUUGAUUGUGUGAGGGAGAUUUGAGAGGAUAAGGUUGCAGAAUCUUUGUGAGAUGUUGUUUGUGCAGACAUUAUCAAUUUAUAAAAACAAACAGUCUUGUAUUUUCAGCUUACAGACCUUCAGACCACAUCUUCAGUUGCAAACAUGAAAACAGAUGAAAUCAGCUUGCAGACAGU